UACGUAGGGUGCGAGCGUUAAUCGGAAUUACUGGGCGUAAAGCGUGCGCAGGCGGUUUGUCACGUCUGCUGUGAAAACUGGAGGCUCAACCUCCAGCCUGCAGUGGGUACGGGCAGACUAGAGUGCGGUAGGGGAGAGUGGAAUUCCUGGUGUAGCGGUGAAAUGCGCAGAUAUCAGGAAGAACACCCGUGGCGAAAGCGGCUCUCUGGAACGGUACUGACGCUGAGACGCGAAAGCGUGGGGAGCGAACAGG
rnacentral:rRNA from 1 species